rnacentral:misc_RNA from 1 species
AAGUCGUAACAAGGUUUCCGUAGGUGAACCUGCGGAAGGAUCAUUAACAUAUGUAUAAUAUUCAACACACCUGUGACCAUGAGUGAUAUUGUUGGGAUCACGCAUAAAAGCAAACACGUAAGGUAGGAGUCUUUAUUAUUAUAAGUAUAAACAACUUUUAACAAUGGAUCUCUUGGCUCUC